rnacentral:lncRNA from 1 species
UCAAAGUUUAGGCAAGAACUAUAAAUUUAACAAACAAAGUUGAGAACUUUACCUUGCAUGUCGGCAACUGAUGAUCUUGGGAACAAGGAUGUGUGGAGGCGGUGGCUAAGAGACAAUGGCCGCGAAACAUAUACCAGUGAUAAGGUCGAAAUGAAUAAAAAACAGUGGAUAUUGGGAUUCAAUUGAGAUAAAGGUUUAGCAAACUCCAUCUUCUUCUUCUCCAUAGCUUGGUUUCUUCUUCUCCAUAGCUUGGAACUCUAAACAGAGACCAAACCAGAUUCAAGAAAGAUCAAACAUUUAGAAUCCAGUCAAGAGCUUGGUUUCUAACAUGUGGCUCCCAUCCCCCAGAACACAAUCACUUGAGGUAAUCAGCUCUUUGCAAGAACUCAACCUCUAGCUCCAACAAAUCUCGGACUCUUUCUCCUCUCAAUGAUGAUGGAAAAGAACCCAUCAUCAGUGGUUGUGGCUGACGGAGACGAGGCGGAAUGGCGACAUGAAAACCCGGUGAAAAAGCGAGAAAGAUUAGUGAAAGAACGAGAAAGAUUAAGAAAGGAUCCAGUUCUUCGUUGUCUUCAACAGGACCAGAAGAAAAAAAUCAGAAAAAUUAGAGUUCAUGUAUUUAGGAAAAUAGUUUAGAUCUAAGCCGGCCCCUCUCAGACAUAAAUUGGACUGUGCUACAAAAAAAUUUAGACCCAUUUUUUCAUACAAAUUUUUAUUUUUUUAAAAAGGGCUCUAAGCCUAGCUGAAAAAAGACAAAAAAUGAAAUGGACUCUGUAC